rnacentral:rRNA from 1 species
AUCAGCAUGCUGCGGUGAAUACGUUCCCGGGCCUUGUACACACCGCCCGUCACACCAUGAGAGUCGAUAACACCCGAAGCCUGUAGUCUAACCAUAAGGAGGACGCAGUCGAAGGUGGGAUUGAUAAUUAGGGUGAAGUCGUAACAAGGUAAC